CUAGAGGUAUAUGUUGGG
rnacentral:siRNA from 1 species